GGCGAACGGGUGAGUAACACGUUGGUGACCUACCCCAGAGAGGGGGAUAACCAUUGGAAACGAUGGCUAAUACCCCGGAUGUCAUUAUUGUUAGAGAGUAAUGACUAAAGCUCCGGCGCUCUGGGAGGGGCCUGCGGCCCAUCAGCUAGUUGGUAGGGUAAUGGCCUACCAAGGCAAAGACGGGUAGGGGACGUGAGAGCGUGACCCCCCACACUGGUACUGACACACGGACCAGAUACCUACGGGUAGCAGCAGCAAGGAAUAUUGCCCAAUGGACGAAAGUCUGAGGCAGCAACGCCGCGUGGAGGAUGAAGGCCUUCGGGUUGUAAACUCCUUUUCUGGGGGAAGAGAAAGGACGGUACCCCAGGAAUAAGUCUCGGCUAACUACGUGCCAGCAGCCGCGGUAAAACGUAGGAGGCGAGCGUUAUCCGGAUUUACUGGGCGUAAAGCGCGUGCAGGCGGUUUCUUAAGUCGGACGUGAAAGCUCUCGGCUCAACUGGGAGAGGUCGUUCGAAACUAGGGAACUUGAGGAUGGUAGAGGAGAGUGGAAUUCCCGGUGUAGUGGUGAAAUGCGUAGAUAUCGGGAGGAACACCAGUGGCGAAGGCGGCUCUCUGGGCCAUUCCUGACGCUAAGACGCGAAAGCUAGGGGAGAGAACGGGAUUAGAAACCCCGGUAUUCCUAGCCGUAAACGAUGUCAACUAGGUGUAGGGGGUAUCCAACCCCCCUGUGCUGUAGCUAACGCGUUAAGUUGACC
rnacentral:rRNA from 1 species